rnacentral:rRNA from 1 species
UACGUAGGGUGCAAGCGUUGUCCGGAAUUAUUGGGCGUAAAGGGCUCGUAGGCGGUCCAUCACGUCGGGAGUGAAAAGCUGGGGCUUAACCCCAGUCCUGCUUCCGAUACGGGUGGACUAGAGGUAGGCAGGGGAGAACGGAAUUCCUGGUGUAGCGGUGAAAUGCGUAGAUAUCGAGAGGAACACCUGCGGCGAAGGCGGGUUGCUGGGCUGAUACUGACGCUGAUGCGCGAAAGCCAGGGGAGCGAACGGG